CCUUCCAGGCUCAAAACAACAUCAGUUAUAAACCCACCGUUUCUGGUUACAAAAAGAGAAGACAGAUCGCGGAAGGAAACAAGCCCGGUGGUCCUACGUCGAGCAAACAAUGCCGGUAAGUUUAUCACCUCCGAUUUGGUUAUGAAAUCAACAGAUCGAUGUCAUGCAACAACCUUUUCGGCUGAAUCUGCUUUUAGUGGCGAUGUUUGUUCAUGUUCCGGCCAGAAUAGGGUUCCGUCCGUUAUCCGGUCACCCGUUUUCAUCUUGGAUGGUGGAUGGACGGCUCUUGUAGGUGAUUGGCUUAGCUGGGCGGUUCCCCUUGCAAAUAGAUUGUAUCAUUCUUAUUCGUUUUCAAUAUAUCAUGUCGCUGAUGAUUUUCUAUUAGGGUUUAUGUGAGUUUUCCUAAUCGCUAAUGAAGGUACUAAAUUAUAUGAACUCAUCAUUCUGCUUAUCAUGUGUACAUGGAUGAUAAGAAUUUUUUUAGAUACAAGGGUUUAGGGUUUUUGCCAUUGAAUUUUCUAGAAUUAGAUGUGAAAGGCGCCGUUUAUGCAAAAUCAAUUGUUUGAGCUAUGGACUGAAGGCAACCUUGGUAGAGUAAUAGUUACCAAUUUUUGGUGGUUUAGCAACAAAGGUGACCAGGAUGUGGAGAUAGAAUCAACGGUGGUUUUAGUGUACUGCCAUAAUCAGUGGCGGAAACCAUCAUCUCAGAUGGGUUUUCCAAGACUGACAAUGGCGGCUAUGUUUGGGUACAAAAUCCUUACGCCUUGGCGAAGUUAUAUGGUAAUUGCUAAGCCUUCUGUUAUUUUAACUCUUAGUAUUGGUAUGUUGUAAUUUGUUGCUGUAACUCUUAGUUUAAGUACAAAAUCCUUAGGCCUUGGCGAAGUUAUAUGGUAAUUGCUAAUUUGAAUGCAGAUCUGAAAUAAGAAUGCGAUCAAGAAAGAACAUACUUGCUGUAAGUGUUGGUAUUUGAUGUCCCGUAACUGAUAUGGAUUUUUUAACAGAAAAAAAUCAUGCUCACUUUUGAAGCUCAUUAUCAACAAAACAGAUAAUGUCAUGUUUUGAUGUUCACUAGAGUGUAGUUUAACUUCACAUUAAAUAGAUUAUUUGCUAAUAAAGACUAUAUAAUGUAGUUUAAUGUUGAUCAAUUACAAGUUUAGUCCUUUUUAAAUUGUGGGCACAUACUCUUGUAUAGAAAAUGUCAUUAACAUUCAGCUGCAGGUUUGAUUGUUUGGAUAGUAUAUUAACAUAUCUCAACUUUGCAAUAGGAGAAGAGAGAAUUACAUAUGAACUGUAGCCAUGUGACUACCACAAGAAUGACGAGACCCGUUGUCACUUCUGGAAAUCUAAAAGCAUUCCGCUGUGUAUUAUGUGCAUGAGUCUCUGGACGCUGUGGAAAGAAUGAAAUGGUUUGGUUUUUAGAGGUUUGAAGAGAUCGGCUGAUAGAGUGCGCGAAGACAUCAUCUCCUCCUUAGUCAAUUGGUGGGUCACUCUAGGAUCCCUUGUGUAUCAUGUAAUUCUGUUUUGUAUUUUUUUUUCUCUUCCUGUAUCCGGCUUGCUGGAGGCCUUUUAGCUUUUUUGUUUUUAAUGCUAAGUCGUUUAAAAAAAAAGUCAGCAAAUGGGUAUGAAGUUGUGAAGAAUCAGUAUUAUAACAUGAUAUAGAAUCAAACAGUUUCACUUAAA